rnacentral:rRNA from 1 species
AACGAACGCUGGCGGCAGGCCUAACACAUGCAAGUCGAGCGAAGCCUUCGGGCUUAGCGGCGGACGGGUGAGUAACGCGUGGGAACGUGCCCUUUGGUACGGAAUAGCCCCGGGAAACUGGGAGUAAUACCGUAUGUGCCCUUCGGGGGAAAGAUUUAUCGCCAAAGGAUGGGCCCGCGUUGGAUUAGGUAGGUGGUGGGGUAAUGGCCUACCAAGCCGACGAUCCAUAGCUGGUUUGAGAGGAUGAUCAGCCACACUGGGACUGAGACACGGCCCAGACUCCUACGGGAGGCAGCAGUGGGGAAUCUUAGACAAUGGGGGAAACCCUGAUCUAGCCAUGCCGCGUGAUCGAUGAAGGCCUUAGGGUUGUAAAGAUCUUUCAGUGGGGAAGAUAAUGACUGUACCCACAGAAGAAGCCCCGGCUAACUCCGUGCCAGCCGCCGCGGUAAUAC